UGAAAUGCCAAGGACAGGAGGGUGAGAGAUAUUGGAGGGUAGGAUAUGGCAUAAUUUGAGUUGGGAAAUAUGGAAGGUUGGGUGGAUGAGUAGUUGGGUUAGGAGAGAUAGCUUGUAAGCUACAGGGCCAAUGUUUUGUAAGACUUGAUAUGGGCCAUAAUAUUUAGCUGAAAGCUUGGAGAAUGGGAACCAGACAGUAUUAUUUGUGUAUGGGGC
rnacentral:lncRNA from 1 species